AGUUGUACGUGGCACUACAUUUUAUAUAAAAAUAAAAGUGGUGUCAUGUACAAUUGU
rnacentral:pre_miRNA from 1 species